UACGUAGGGGGCAAGCGUUGUCCGGAUUUAUUGGGCGUAAAGAGCGUGUAGGCGGCCAGGUAGGUCUGCUGUGAAAACUCGAGGCUCAACCUCGAGAUGUCGGCGGAAACCAUCUGGCUAGAGUCCGGAAGAGGAAAGUGGAAUUCCAGGUGUAGCGGUGAAAUGCGUAGAUAUCUGGAGGAACACCGGUGGCGAAGGCGGCAUCCUGGACCGGCAUUGACGCUGAGGCGCGAAAGCCAGGGGAGCAAACGGG
rnacentral:rRNA from 1 species